rnacentral:lncRNA from 1 species
CAAGGGUAUAUAUGUCAUGUACGGUUCGAAAAUAAAGGAGAAAUAGGUAUUAGAUCCUCUUUUGAUGAAGAUCAAGGAUGAUGUGGGUAAGGAUAAGAUGAUGACCUUCAAGAUCUCUGUUUUCCUGCUUAGCAUAUGGGCAAUCUUUAAUUCUGUGACCCGACUUUCCACAACCAAAACAACCCUUUUGUCAAGCCAAGCAUUUGUUACCAUCUAAUAAGUGAUCUUCGCCAAAAUCAUUUACAAUUAAUUCCCGCUCAAUACAAGCUCAAAAACAAAGGCAUUUUCGAUUACAAUAACAGGUUUCCAAAAUUAGAGCUCGAAUUCGAUUUCUUCCGGUAACAAAAAAGGCAAAUCCAAAUUCUCGAUAGGUAAUUGAGAUGAGCAUAUGGGUUCAAAACUACUCCACAUUGCAUACAAGAGGAUCAUAAGUAUAGGAAGUUGUUAAAAUACAUUAAUUAAGUACACAUAAUGGAUACGCACAUUAACAACAACAAAAAAAAAACAAUAUAUACCCAUCGCAAUUCCAUGAGAAGGUUCUACGACAUUUUACCUGCUCGGAAAUAAGCAAAUUAACAACAACAAUAUAUCUAGCGUAAAUAAGAACAUUAACAACAACAACAAUAUAUCUAGCGUAAAUAAGAACAUUAACAACAACAACAAUAUAUCUAGCGUAAAUAAAAACAUUAACA